AGCACGAAACGCGCGUGACGCCCUUGACCCCGGAAGCCGGAAGGGUGUGCGAUCAUGGCGGACUCACGGAGCGUCGUGCCAGUUUUGCCCAAACAUUCGUACUGGUUUGAUUUCUGGACGUUUCUGCUGUUCGAUGUCAUUCUUUUCCUCAUCAUUUACUUCGUCAUUCCCUGAGCGGUCCUGAACACUGCUCUACUCACAGCCUGAAAUGCUUUUAAUAACCUGAAGUGUGAAGCCGUGCCUUGAUGUUCCCGAAUCACUCACAUCACAAGAAGAUGCAUCUUCAUCAGUCUGCAGGCUUUAUAUCAUCCACAUAUGACCAACAAUACAUAGCCAUUGAAGACUGUGUUGGAUGCAUGUAUCAAAACCUGAAUAAUUAAAUCAGUGUGACUUUUAACUGUUGUUGUUGUAUUUCUCGUAUGAAACAGAAUAGAUUAAAACACACCAGAACAACAAUAUAAGAAAUGAUUAAACUUACUGAAUAAACCUUCCACAAAAUGA